ensembl:snoRNA SNORD114-13 small nucleolar RNA, C/D box 114-13
UGGACCACUGAUGACCACCGGUGGCGUGUGAGUCAUGCACAGUGAAUGCCCCGUGUCUGGAACUCCGAGGUCCAA